rnacentral:rRNA from 1 species
GCAAGUCGAACGGUAACAUGUCUAGCUUGCUAGAUGAUGACGAGUGGCGGACGGGUGCGUAAUGCUUGGGAAUUUGCCUUUGCGCGGGGGAUAACAGUUGGAAACGACUGCUAAUACCGCAUAAUACCUACGGGUCAAAGGGGGGAGUUUACUCCUCUCACGCGAAGAGAAGCCCAAGUGAGAUUAGCUAGUUGGUGGGGUAAAGGCUCACCAAGGCGACGAUCAGUAUCUGGUUUGAGAGGACGAUC